rnacentral:tRNA from 1 species
GUGGCUGUAGGACAACGGUCAGUCCGGCAGAUUGUGGAUCUGCACAUCAGGGUUCAACUCCCUGCAGUCACCCCA